rnacentral:piRNA from 1 species
UAAACAAAGCCCAUGCCAGUUUACAGGUUC